rnacentral:rRNA from 1 species
CAGCAGCCACGGUAAUACAGAGGAUGCAAGCGUUAUCCGGAAUGAUUGGGCGUAAAGCGUGCGUAGGUGGUUCGUUAAGUCUGAUGUGAAAGCCCUGGGCUCAACCUGGGAAUUGCAUUGGAUACUGGCGAGCUAGAGUGCGGUAGAGGGUAGUGGAAUUCCCGGUGUAGCAGUGAAAUGCGUAGAGAUGUGGAGGAAUACCGAUGGCGAAGGCAGCCCCCUGGGCCAAUACUGACGCUCAUGCACGAAAGCGUGGGGAGCAAACAGGAUUAGAUACCCGGGUAGUCCCUGUCUCUUAUAC